UGUUCACGGCUUCUCGUUCGCGGCAUGUUUGCCCGGUUAGCACUUCAACUGGUUCUAAUUGGAUUCACUUUCCCUUCUGAAGUGAUACACCCUUGAGCUUGUUUUACUUUCUCCAGUGAAAAGAGAGCCUCUGCCUGCCCAGCCGCAAACUAAUUAGUACAGCUGAAGGAGAAAUGUUGCAAAGGGCCAAACUGAUACUGUACCUUUUUCAACAGAUAGAACUGUCAAGCACUUGUAGAACUGGAACAGUAGCUCUUAUUCAGCUAGCUAUUUUAUAGUGAGCAGAUUUGAAAGAGUAAAAAUAAUGCCAACAUUUUUUUUGAUUUCCAAAAGCGGUGGAAACGACGACCUCGUGCUUCCUUUUCCGUUGUACCUCCCAGUCGUCGUGACUCAUCUGCGCAAAAAGAUUACGCGUACAAGGCGCGUGAGAAUUGUGGCCGGGAAUUUGGCGACCGUGUGUGGGAGGGAGUGUGUGUGUGUGUGUGUUGGCGUGUGUACUCAGAUGACGCGAUUGCAUGUCCAAUUAAAAAAGUUGUCCCGGCUCUUACCCGCCCUCUUCACACGGACGGUGCUCCAUUCAUAGUGUGUCUCGCUGCGCCAUUCAGGAACCACACACUCUUCCUCCGAGCAGUGCUUUCUGCAAACCUCGUUGUGCACCAGCUUUGCUUGCCGUAACUCCAACGAUAAGUCCGGAUGAAAGAUGAAGUUUCUUAGGGAGGACCCACACACACACACACAAGACGGAAGCUAUCCCAAGUGUAGUUUCCCACGAGUUUUCACUCGCGUGCAUACACCAUUAGUGUAAUUAUUUUCCACCAAAUCACAUACCCCCGGUGCUCGACGGUACACACGAUGUUGUGUUGUUCCAGUUUUGUUUUGUUGUUGUCAAGUGUAGCAGAUCCCAAUGGGAGAAAGGUAAAAAAAUGCUUUCUUUUCGGACAGCAAGCAAAUUCCCAAAAAAAAGGAACCAUGAACCAAGUACGAAUAUUAAUCAGAUGGACAAAACUGUUGAAAAGUAAAAGCAGUUUCACUUAACUUGCCGGUUGAGCGGUUGCAUUUGGGACCUAUUUCUUCCUCCUUUUCUCUCUCUAUCCCUCUCAGUCAGUCACCGAGUUGAGAAGGUGAAAAGAUGAUGCUAUUCAUUAUUCGGCUUUAUUUUGCGGUUGUUUUAUUUUGGAAAAUCAUUACUUUGUGUUUUUGGACGUUUUUUUCUUCUUACUUUUUGAAUGAUUUACUGUUGAGGGUUGUAUUUUGAAUCCCUUCCUACACCGGCGUACUGUAACAAAUUACAAAGUACGGGUCCUGCUUGAUCGUCACUUUCCUUUUUUUGAGCAAUAGCGCAAACCAACAGCCAGACGAAGCAAAUGAGAUGCAACUCCAACUUUCGGAUCGAUAAUGCCACUUUUGCAAUAAGAAAAAAAAACUGUCACCAACGGGUUCAUUCACUCGCACAGAAGCCUCCUUCUUCUACUCCCGAGUGGGCUGCGGUUAUUAACAAAUGCUGAAAAAUGCAUAAACUUUCCACCGUCGUCCCAUGCCCGGGAGUAUGACGUCUUUUGAGCAUGUUUCAAUGUCACUCCCUGUCCGUGCAGCAGUGGUGGAAAAUCGUUCGCUUUACCUCGCUUCGCCACGAUUUGCUCGAAAGAAAUGUGUGUGCAAAAUAAAAAUAUAAGCGCCUCCUUCUUACACCAUCACCAACGCUUGGGCCAACGCUUUCGGCAGCGACCUUGUCCGGCAUAACGGCUAAACGGGUCGGUUUCAUUCGUGGCAGUUGUUUUCACCCCGUUUGGUGCGUUUGUGUCUGCCUGAAGCUGCCGAACGGCCGCGACACCACGUCCCGUACAUUGUCGAUGCUUGCGGUGAUGAGUUAGGAAUAGUAAAUUCGCUACUUUAUUUCGGCAUUUCUUUCUCAUUUUGCGAACGCCCCACGGGGACGAGUUUGAACCGCACAAACAAAGGUGUAAAUGUGUGUUUGCAUUCAUGCGUUGAAGCUAUGUGCAAUAGGAGGGCCUCAGACUGGAAAGCAUACAUAAUCGUGCAAAAAAGCAGACGAUCAAGCAGAGAAUUCCACCGCAGUGAAAUAAAUAUGCCAUCGUUACGCUGCUUUUGGGAAGGCAGGCUCCACGUAGUCUGAAGAAGUUCGUAGAACGUUCGAUGGUGCGCCGGAGGAAUGUAGCCUCAACACAACCUCUAAAGCACACUUUUAUGGCCAACAGUGCAAGGUGUUUCAUUCGCCGUUCCACGUUGCACGAUGCGUAGCGAUAGAUGGGUGGUGCUAAACAGCCAUUAAGUUGUAUAGGGGAAGCCGGAGCAAAAGCGUCAUGAUGUGAAAUUAAUUUAUUUUGUAAAACCUCGAAUUUUACCAAUUUGAAUUAAACGUUCAAGUUAUAACAAAGGCACAAAAUCGCAAAGUAGAAGAAUAAACAGAAGGCUGAAGGUGUUGUCAGUACAACGAUCCGUAAACGAAUGAUCUUUAUUUUGACAUUCAGAUUAACGCACAGUUGUCACGGUGAUGGUCAUAUUCUGAUCCGGCAUAUUGAGCACUAUGGUCUUAUCAGGGGUCAAAUCUCCAGGAUAUUACAGCUCGGCUAUCCUGACAAACAAAUUGACCUCAAUUUGAGCGGCUUUACUGUAGAAAUCUUCAAUACUUAUUGAACAGAGCUGGCAUGAGAAUAACUCACAUACUUUCAAUCACAACUGCUUUUCUGACCAACAUCUCCUCCGGAAGUCUUGCUGAAGUUUACGGAAGUUACAGCCAAGCAUAAGGACGAUGAUGAUAUCGAAAGGUGUUGAUCCGGAAUGAUGUCGUCAUAUGAUGCGUGAAGUUGGGUCAAUUUCAAGGUGGGUGUCAAUUUCAAUCACAGCUGCUUUUCUGACCAACAUCUCCUCCGGAAGUCUUGCUGAAGUUUACGGAAGUUACAGCCAAGCAUGAGGACGAUGCUGAUAUCGAAAAGAACUUAUCCUGAAUGAUGUCGUCAUGUGAUGCGUGCGGUUGAAUCAAUCUCAUAGUGGGUGUAAGUAAUGCUGCCGCUGAUCGGCAUCUCCUCCAGAAGUCUUGCUGAUGUUUACAGAAGUUACAGCCAAGCAUAAGGACAAUGACGAUCAGGAUGAACCUGAAUACUGAACGACACCACGAUGAUUGUUGUUCAACAGCUCAGCAUGCUACAACUGAUGCCACAGCACUCGAACAUGACGCGGCGGUAGAGGGUGGUAGCGGGGUCAAUCCAUAAAGUGGCGGAAGGCAAUACACACGAUGAAUCGGAGGCGAUGACAACACGGCGUGCGGUGCACAUGCAAUAACAGAAGUGAUGCGCGAAGCUUUUCCAGUAUUCCAAGUAGGAGCGAUGAUAAAAGAAUAGCCAGCGGCCGUAUUCAUACUAAAUGGCGGUGUCGUCAUUGUCGUGCAAGAUGAACAAGAUGGCGGCCACACUAAAUGCAAGGCUGGUGUCUUUGGGGUUGCAGGGAUCGAUAUCGUUGUGGCUGGUGAAUCUGGCGUAAUCUGGUCUAGCCAUGAGGCAAAUCGUUGCCUAAACAUCGAAUUGGCUGCCUAUACCGGCAAGCACACACAGAAGCUUCUCGUUUUUGCGCAUUGCAAUGGCAGAUGGUAGCGUCAUCUCACACACAAACAAACAAACUCUUCGAUACACAAUCUUGUGCCGUGCUGGAUUGGACAGCAAAGCAGGUGCAGGCGAUAAGGCGUAUCCCACUUCUGAGAUGUAAAACCUCGAAUUUUACCAAUUUGAAUUAAACGUUCAAGUUAUAACAAAGGCACAAAAUCGCAAAGUAGAAGAAUAAACAGAAGGCUGAAGGUGUUGUCAGUACAACGAUCCGUAAACGAAUGAUCUUUAUUUUGACAUUCAGAUUAACGCACAGUUGUCACGGUGAUGGUCAUAUUCUGAUCCGGCAUAUUGAGCACUAUGGUCUUAUCAGGGGUCAAAUCUCCAGGAUAUUACAAUUUGAAAAUUAAUUAGUUAACAGAGCAGGUUUUAAUUAUUUAAUGCUUAUUGACUGAUCGUUUUAAAUUUCACUUUUUUUAUUGUAAUUAUUUUACACAGUUUUUAGCUGCCUGUAUUAGGGGUGUUUGCUUUACCCCACCUUCCUUUUUACAUUAUAACCACCUUGAGAAGCCCAUUGAGACCUAAAGACGGAUAUUUUGCUGGGACGUCCGUGUUUUUUUUGCACUAAACUGCAACGAAACACACAUACACACGAAAGAGUUGGUUAAUUUCGUUCCUUUGUUGAUUAUUCGUCUUCCAUCUACCGAUUGGUUUCGCAAAUGAAAAGAAGCAGCAAGAGAGCACAACACUUGAACGCUUGCCUACCGGUGGCCCGCUGCUCUUCAAAAAGCAUCGCACUGCGAGUUAUGUAGGCAAGGUAAAUAUUAGACACGCUUUGUGAGGGGCCAACGAUGAACUCGAAUGGAGAAGAAUGUUCACGAACAACGAAAGUCAAUAAAAAGCCCGACCCACCAACCGAUCGACCGAUCGUUCGAUUUGAGGACAUUCGAGAAAAAGGGGCAUUUGUGUUUACCUUACAUGAUCUCGGUGCUAGCGUUUGAUCGUGUUUGAGUGGUGCACGGAAAUUUAUUCCAAAAAUGGGAAAAGAAACGAUCGUAAAAGGCACAUUUUAUUAAAUAAAAUAUAGGCUAUUAUUGGCAUAGGAAGAUUAAAUCAAAUUACCACUUCAAGCGAUCGCUUCGCUCGUUUACUGUGACCACAAUUUGAUUAUCCCUUCUAUUAGGGGAACAUCUUCAUAAACUUUCUCUCGUAAAAAAAAAACAUAAAUUUGAUCCUUCCGGCCAAACGUUGUAACUGAACCGCCGGUGUGGGUAGUAUUGUUUUCUCCCCUUUUGCGCCCUAAAGCAGCAGCAAACACACCUACACGGGGGUAAUCAUUUAUCCACCAACAUCACAUAGACUCCGUUGCUCCGUGUGUUGUUAUCAUGUUUAAAAUCCUUCAGCCCAAUAUAUCCCAUACAUUAUGCUGCCUUAAGCUGCAACGGUGGUCGGGGCAGUCGUCUUUCUGCUGGUAGCGUGUGUGGGACAGGCUAGAGAACGGUAUAAAUGCAUUUCAGAGCUUCUCUACGUGUGGGCGGCGUGAUGCAUUUCGUGCGAUGCACCCGGAGGGGCAGAGGGCACAAAAGAACGAAUACAUAAAUUAUCUCUAGUUUAAAUUAAAUUCUUUUCCACCUUUAACACACACCCUAUCCAGCCGUCUUGUGGGUGCCGUUCUGCGGCUAAUGCAUUUCCUUCCCCCACAACACACUACCGGCACUGUGUUCUAGUGGGCGGCUUUCCUUCCAAUCUUCGAUCACUUUAAAGCCGGUUUUUUUUGUGGUUAAUCUUCAGUUUUCGGGCCCGAUGUGGAAUCCAUCACGACAUGAAUGCCGGCCCAGACAGGGCUGGCGCGGGUUGUUUCACCUUUGGGGGGCCCUAUCUCAUUACAUCAUGUCGUGGCGCAUGUCUCGUGUCCAUCACUCACAGUUGAGACUUGGGCCUGGUGGUAUGUUUGUGGAGUUUUGGUUUUUUGUUCCUCUCUUCGGAGAUUGUAAUUUGGUUUUGGAGCAUAAUCCCGCUGUGAUAUGUGGCAAGAAGAUCGCUCAGAAAACAUUAGCGUUCCCGCUGAUGAUUUGUUUGGCCUGAUUCUUCAACUAAAGUGCGUGUGUUUUUUUUUCUUUCGAGUAUGACAACAAUACAUAAACAUGGCAGAAAUGUUUAUUUGGCUAACGUAAUUUAAAGUCAGCCAUCUUUUAUUAACUAUUCUUGGCUCAAAUCGUACUCUGAGUUGUGUCGAAAUAAAUCAAUACAAACUAAAUGAUCUCCCUUCGAACACAGACUUAUGUUUAUAGACCUCACGGCGUGUCUGAUAAACAAUCGUAAAUUAGCUUUGACAAAUCCACAAUUCAUGCUGAGCAAAGCAAAACCACAGCCGUAGAAAGCGAGAAACUCCCCCUCACUGCAUGGUGCAAACGAAUGGAAAAGAUUCGGUGCAUCGUUGGCAUAUUUGUACAAUAAGCAAAUCGAUCCUCUCGCUGUGAGAAAAAGAGGCCGUCCACAAUAAAUUCCUGCAUUAACAUUCCACCGUUGAUGCAAUGGGGGAGGGAUGGAAAAUGAUCAUACGCACUACGGCUGGUUGGUAUGUUUGACUAGUGUCACAUUAGUGGCAUUCCGAAUAGGAAAAGAACAGUUACGACGACGACGUCACGAUGGUGUAUCGUAUUACGUGCGUGGCCAGCAGCAGGAAAGCACGCCCAGUCCCGGGCCAAUCCGACUUGCAUUUGCUACCGGUCGGGCCGGAAAAGACGACGAUCGUACGAUCGUGUAUAUAUUUGUAGCGAACCGCCGCCUGGUCGGUCCAUUGCGACUGAACCGCUGCGACGACGUCCCGCAGCAAAUGCCCAACCAGCAUUAUCGCGCGAUUUUUAUGUGUAUCUAUCAUUUUUCUCAUUCUAACAUUCACAAAAUUUUUCUUUCUGCCUCGCUCUUCUGGGUGUUGGUCUGUAUUUGCUUGCGACUUGGCUGUGUCGCAUCAACGAUUCGCAUGUUUCAUUUAGCUCAUCCCUUUCCAUCGUUGGAGAGAAACUCUUGCGUCUCGCUUUUCUGGGACUUGUCCAAAUUCGCUUGCUACACCAAUCGUUCACGCAAGCGUUCUCCUCUCGCCCGCUCUUUGUAUCAUUGUACAGGUACUCCCCGAUAUACGCUAUCAAUGCGUACCGGAGGCAAUAGCGUAUCUCGAAUAUUCAAUAGCGAAAGUCGAAUUUCGAGGUUUUCAGUCAAAUUAUAACUAAUAUCCGUAUAACUUUGCAUGAAGUGGUAGGUUUUAGCCACUAAAUUAGUUAUUUGAUCUAAUUUCAACUGAAUUUUUCAAUUUUAUACCAUUUGAAAUGGUUUUUAAUAUUCAACCAAAGGGAAUUUAUUUUGCAUUUGACAUUCGAUUUAUAAAAUUAGUACUACUUGUUCAAAGAACCGUCAAAUUUAGAAAAAAAGCGUAUAGCGAAAUCGUGUAUAUCGAGUAUGGCGUAUAUCGGGGAAUACCUGUAUAGCCACACGAGGAAGGCGCUGCUUCGCGUUCACAUGAAAAUGUGAUAGUGUGAAAUCAAGUUUGCAAGCGGUAGGACGCGUCGGUGUGUGUCCGUUUUUUCUCUCGUGAAACCAGUACGGAAAAACUAUUUGAAAUCGUAACACACGCACGAACGGAAGUGAGCACGGACCACAACAGAAGCAAUAUUCAAUUGGUUGGAGUGCCGAAAACAGAACAGGAGAGGAAAAAGGCAGGAACGAUCCGAUCCUCCAACGUGCUAGCGCCUGGUAGAGGAGAAGCGGCAGGAAGGUAGAGACGAACAUCCAGCUCGCUAGUGCAGCACGUGGGAGCAGCAAGAGGGAAGCAAGCAGGACGCGUACACACCAUUCGACGAAGGCAAAGCUGGAGGAAAGGAAGAACGAGGAGAGAAGGCAGGCAAGACGGGUACGUGUGUAUCCCGCACCGGUUAUAGGCAGUGUGAAUUGUGUGAGUAUGUAAAUAUGUAUGUGCGAGUAAGAAGGUAAAAUAAAGAGCGUAAGCAUGUGCAGAAUGGACAAAAGAGA